AUGGAAUGGUUAUGGAAAAUCCUCUUCCUGCUCACAAUGGCCACAGGUGUGGACUCCCAGAAGCUGGUGCAGUCUGGGCCUGAGUUGAGGAAGCCUGGGAUAUCCGUGAAGAUCUCCUGCCAGGCAUCCGGAUACACCUUCACAAGCUACUAUAUGUACUGGGUGCAGCAGCGUCCUGGACAAGGGCUUGAGUGGAUGGGAAGAAUUGACCCUGAUAAUGCAAAUACAGUAUAUGCACAGAAGUUCCAGGGCAGAGUCACCUUCACUGCAGACAAGUCCACCAGCACAGCCUACAUGGAAUUGAAAAAUCUGAGGCCUGAGGACACAGGCACAUAUUUCUGUGCCAGACCAAUUAAGGAAAAUGUAAAACACAGAAGCAGAGGCUCUACUGGAAGACCAGCCUGGGGAGCUGAUGUUCAUAAAGCAGAAAGGUAUGGACAGAUAAUGGUGGAAAGAAAGGCCAGAUGUGCAUGGCGCGUUCCUCUGCUUCCACCUUUUCUGACGGAGCAACUCACCUCCAUGGAAGGAGAGGCCUUCAGGGGGCGAGACCAUUUGAAAAACAGAAGCCAUGGUUCUGUGGAACGUUUCUCACACAUAAGGAUAAGUACCCGCUACAGUGACUUGAUACAGCUCAGUCUAAUUUUAGAUCUCAUUCUGAAGCAUCUGAAGGAAAAUAGAUACUAUGAUGUAGACAAAGCAAUGUAG